rnacentral:miRNA from 1 species
CUGCAGCUGCUGGACGGUGGCGGCGCUUCAGCAGCUGCGUCGUCCUCCAACUGUAG